rnacentral:rRNA from 1 species
AUUGAACGCUGGCGGCAGGCCUAACACAUGCAAGUCGAGCGGAUGAAGGUAGCUUGCUACCGGAUUCAGCGGCGGACGGGUGAGUAAUGCCUAGGAAUCUGCCCGAUAGUGGGGGAUAACGUUCCGAAAGGAACGCUAAUACCGCAUACGUCCUACGGGAGAAAGCGGGGGAUCUUCGGACCUCGCGCUAUCGGAUGAGCCUAGGUCGGAUUAGCUAGUUGGUGAGGUAGUGGCUCACCAAGGCGACGAUCCGUAGCUGGUCUGAGAGGAUGAUCAGCCACACUGGGACUGAGACACGGCCCAGACUCCUACGGGAGGCAGCAGUGGGGAAUAUUGGACAAUGGGCGAAAGCCUGAUCCAGCCAUGCCGCGUGUGUGAAGAAGGUCUUCGGAUUGUAAAGCACUUUAAGUUGGGAGGAAGGGCUGUUACCUAAUACGUGACAGUUUUGACGUUACCAACAGAAUAAGCACCGGCUAACUUC